UUUCCAGCGAACAGUGAGCAAGCAAAUCGCGUGUCUACGUAAAUUGAAAAUUUACCGUGACCCUCGCAGUAAUAUCUAUGCAAAUGGUGAAACGGCUUUAAUGGUAUUUUUAUGGAACGGGUUUUACGAAAUAAUAGCGGAUGAUCGGUAGAAAAGUAAACGAACGUGGUCAUGACUUCUAACGCAUGCUUUCCUGGAAGCAAUUAAAGGGUAGUCUUAGUGCUUGAUGACCCUCGUUUGUUCUUAGAAACUAUCGCAUAGAUCAAUAUUUGACGACCUUCGGAUUUAGGUUUGUUAAACCUAUGGAAUCCCUGCUGAACCUCAUAAAUCCCUAAAACUCAUUCUCCACAAAGGGAACAGAGGGUCUCCGUUAUGUUUAGGAUCGUUUUCCCAUUUCAAGGAACGCAAUUUAUUAUUUUAUCACAUUAUAGGUUUUAUUGAAAAGACAUGCUUGUACCAGACGCCAUUUACUUUUAUUCGACUGUAAUUAAAAUUUAUUUGACGAUUUUACUGGACAGUAUUCCAUGAUUGGCGAAUUCCUCCAGUAAUUAUAGAUUGUUACGUCGAGAAUCACGUCAAGUAAAAUGAAUGAACUUUUACAAGGAUUUUCCUUCCAACCUUAUAAUUAAUCUUAAAGUCUUAAAUUAAUAGGUAUCUUAUGUCGCUCUGACUAAUUGAAAAUAUAAAUUACAGAAUGGGAUUGCCAAUUGAAGGGAACUCGUAGAUCAGCUGGGGAGAUUGUCCCUGGAUUCGACUAACUUAUCAUUAUUUGAAUAGACAUUGAAUCACCAAGAAGAACUAUUCUUUCAUAAAUUACCUCUCAACCACCUUUCGGCUUCGUGCAGUACAAAAGGGGUGGGGAGUCACUCAUUCGGGGAAGGACAUUGAUAGGAACGCGAAGGUUUGUUCCUCCUCCUGUUUCUUCUUGGAUUCAGCAUCGAUGACGUGGCGUUUGUGGUGUCCUUCGAUCAGUCUGCAUCAGAUGCCUCCUCGAUUAUUCCUCAGACGUUUGUGGGCGUCGUUUUUUCCUGGACAAAUUCAACCAAUUCAAUUAUAACAUAUUCUCUACGUCAAUUAGAAAACCACCACACCUAUCAUCAG